rnacentral:rRNA from 1 species
GGGAGGAAUAUUGCACAAUGGGGGAAACCCAGAUGCAGCAACGCCGCGUGAGCGAAGAAGGCCUUCGGGUCGUAAAGCUCUUUUCCGAGGGAUGAGGAAGGACAGUACCUCGGGAAUAAGUCUCGGCUAACUACGUGCCAGCAGCCGCGGUAAAACGUAGGAGGCGAGCGUUAUCCGGAUUUACUGGGCGUAAAGGGCAAGUAGGCGGUAGCCAAAGUUGGGUGUGACAUCUCCCGGCUCAACUGGGAGGGGCCACUCAAAACUAGGGUACUAGAGGGCAGGAGAGGGAAGUGGAAUUCCUAGUGUAGCGGUGAAAUGCUCAGAUACUAGGAAGAACACCAGUGGCGAAGGCGGCUUUCUGGCCUGUACCUGACGCUGAGAGGCGAAAGCUAGGGGAGCAAACGGGCUUAGAUACCCGAGUAGUCC